rnacentral:tRNA from 1 species
GCCGAAGUAGCUCAGUGGUAGAGCGGCAGAUUGAAGAUUUGCGCGUCGGUGGUUCGAUCCCACCCUUCGGCACCA